rnacentral:lncRNA from 1 species
CUUCAAUAAAGUGUAGUAUAGUGAAUGGAUGGUGCUAGUAGGUAAAGGUUCAUGUUCAUCUCUGUUGUUUUGUUAUUCUGGAUCUAGAGACAAAAGUACAAACAAGAACCUGGAACAGAGUUUGGCUUCUGUCUUAUUAUGGAUUAGAUUCUAUUAACCUUGACAAAACCAGAAGGAUUAGGUCAACAUUUAGAUUGUCAAAGUUGACUGGAUAAAAGGUUUAUUUUAUUUUUAGAGACAGAGUCUUGUUCUGUUGCCCAGACUGGAGUACAGUGGUGUGAUCAUUGUUCACUGCAGCCUCAAACUCCUGGCCUCAAGUGAUCCUCCUGCCUUGGCCUCCCAAAGUGCUAGGAUUAGAGGCGUGAGCCACCACGACUGGCCCUAGAGAUUAUAAUUAUGAAAGAAUGUAGGUUUAAAAAAUUCAACCUAAUAUAUUAUUUGGUUAACUACAAACAGAGAUUUAUGGCAUAUAAUCAUUUGCUAAGGGAAAAACUAAAACAAUGUUUGUUUUGAGACAGGGUAUUUCUCUGUUACCCAGGUUGGAGUGCAGUGGUGUGAUCUUGGCUCAGUGUAGCCUCCACCUGCUGGGCUCAAGCUAGAACUACAGGUGCAUGCCACAAUGCCUGGCUAAUUUUUAAAUUUUUUUAGAGACAGGGUCUCUUUAUAUUGCCCAGACUGGUCUUGAACUCCUGGGCUCAAGCUAUUCUCCAGCCUUGGUCUCCCAAAGUGCUAUGAUUACAGGCAUGAGCCACUGUGCCUAGCCUGUAACAAUGUUUUUGAGGUAGCUCUAAAGUGAAAGGCAGAAUAUCUGUUGUUACAUAUGACAAAAAAUAGUCAAUUGACAUGUAUCUUGUGCACACAGGACUACAGAAGAAAUUCUGCUCAUAUGAGAAAGAAACAUUGAUCAAUUUUCUAAUUAACAAAUACUGUAUUCAAUCUCUUGUCUACCCAAAUAACUUAGCCAAGGAUAAGUUCUAAUCAGACUCUAUGAACUGAGAAUUACAAAUCAACUGAAGAAAGUAACAUCACUUUUUUUAUUUGAUUCAAACCCAUUUUCAUAUACAAAGCUAAUUUAUUAUGUACAAAAUAAAUGGACAUUCUUAAAAAGUAUUAGAAUACAAAUUUCCAAGGGCCUAAAAUAAGUGCAAAAUUUUCAAUUAUCUUUAAUCAUGCUAUACAGAAACAAAUCAAGUAUUAGCUCAUAUACACACAAUGAAUUUUUUAAAAAUAGCACUUAAUGUAAUAAAACAAAACAUACAUCUUAUAUAUUUAAUUUUAAAAGGAUGAGGAAGGAAAGAAUGUAUUGCACCAAACUAACAGUAACUUAACUACAAUGAGAAUAAUCAAAAUUAUUUAUACAUCUUUAUUAAAAAUUGCUCAGCUUUAAAAUGUUUUUGGGGGGCAUACAAAUAUCCACUGAGUCACAGUUUGCACAGUCAAUAAUUAGAUAUAAAUAAGGCAUAAUAUUUUCUUUUUCAUGGUCAAUUCCAGUAGAAUAAGUGAGAAGGAACAUUUUAAGAUAAAUACACAACUUUCUGAAUUCCUUCAAUAUUUAAGUAGCAGCACAAUUUCCAAGUACUUUCAAAAAACAAGUCAUUCUGAAUUUUUAGUUAUUACGCUCUGAAUUGACUAUGUGCAUAUACAUGCAUUCAAGUCACUGUCACUCUCUAUAACACUGAAAUGCUAUUGGAGUCCCAGAAAAACUGACAAAAGAGAUGAAUUAAAUAUGUUUCAUAUUUUUAUGCCUCAGUAGAUUCAUUUUUAUAGCAAUGAAUCUGAGAGAAAUGGCUAUCUAGCCAGAUAUGAUUACUUUUUGCUAUAUUUUUUGCUCCAAGUCUAUAAAAGCAAACAACUGGAGGAAUGAAAGCCAUACCUGUUAAGAGUUUCUAAAUGGAACCAACCAGCCACAUAGUUUUCUAAGAAGUUUUCUUAUAUAAAGCUACUUAUAAAAUAAGCAGUUUGCCACAAAAAAAGUUUGGUGAUGUUCAUCAAUCACAGUCUUUGAGAGCAGCAAAAAGCAGAAUAGGAAAAAAACAGUUUAAAAUAUAAAAGAUCUUUAAUAGUAAGAUCUACUAUAACAUGCCAUAGUUUUGGAAGAAAAAUAGAAAUUAUUAUCAUUAAAUUGCUAAAAAGUCAUCUAAGAAAAUCAAAAUUCCAAAAUUCCAAAAGAAUUAUUCUUUCCAAAGGAAAAAAUAAAGUUAUCCUCUUUAAUCCCUAUAUACAAAACAGACGCUGACAGUUUUUCAAUUAAGUCUGACUACUGAUAUCCUACCAGAACCACUUCUUAAAGUGUUUAGUGAUUAAUCACAGAAUUGCUAGUUUUAAUACAUCUUAAGUUGAAAUAUUACCAAAAUAAAAAUUUUAAAGGUCCAAUUGGAAUAGGACUUCUUUUAAAAAGUAGCUGAAUUGAUAAAUUUUUAAAAAUCCCACCUAAAUCCUAAUUUUUCUUCAUCUUACAUUACAAUGCUACAUUGUAACAGCAUUACAAGCCGCUAAUCACUCUGUACACUGAAAAAUAAUUAUAAAUUAAUUUAAAUAAUGAGACAGCCAUUACAUAAGUGGAAACACAGACACACAUAUACCCCUCCACUAACAGUCAAGUUUGAAAAAUGAAUGGGUAAUUUUUUAAAUGACAAAAUUGUGUUAUUACUAUUAUUGUUAUAUUUGCAAAAUAUGUUUCCAAGGAAACAUGAAAACCGUACCAUGAAAAACAAAUAUUGAAUUAGUAGCUUUCUAUUUGUUCUUUUCCUUCUGAAUUUUCAGUUCAUAAGAUUAUGGGCAUUAAGACAAAGGUAAAUAUUGUUGAAUGUGCCCUUUUACUUAUCACUAAAGCCACUGGCUUUACAGGUCCAAAUCCUGCAAUGUGUUUAGAAAUCACUCACGUGUGACAAAGAUCAAUGAGAUAAUCACCAAACGAAGGAGAUGUGUCUGAUGAAUUACUAUAAUCAAAUAAGUAUCUGAUAAUACAGCCACUAUUAAAUGAGAUUUUUAUACAGAAGAAAAUCACGUAACUCCUAUACUCUAGGAUGGCCUUACAUUUCUUAACACAGAAAACUGAAUUAUUUCCUAUUUGGAAUUAAACAUCUUAAAUGUUAAUGCGUUCUUCUCUGUUAUACCUAUAAAAAAUUAAAGAUUAUUUCCAUACAGAGGCUGUACCUGCAAAAGUCAUUGGAAGUAGUAGAUAAUUUACCCAAUGCUUUUUAAUUAGGAAAAUUCUAUUGAUUACAAGCUUCAAGGCUCUAAGAGAUCUACUUUUAUGUUUUAAAUUUAGCAUGUUAGUCAUGUUUUUUUCUUCUUUAAAAUGUUGCCUAAUUCAAGUUUGCAAAACGUUCACUGAAAGUCACCAGGAACUAAUAUUAGCAAACAGAUGUACUUUUCUGGAGGCAAAUAUUAGUUAUAAUUUUCAAAUGUGAACAGUCUAAAGAGAGUUCAUGAUAAAAAUAACUCAAUUGAAAGGAGAUUUUGUUGUUUUUGUGGCAGGCAAAACAAAGAUAAUAAAGCCAUUCCAAGCAAAUUUUAGACAAAAUGUCCCUCAGGAUAAUGAUUAAGCCUAUUUUCAAAUAAGUCUGAAUAUUGGAUCUGGUAUAUAAAGAUAAAUGGACAAAUUUCUAUGCAGAAAAAUUUUUAGGAUAUAACAUAAUAAUCCUCAGACAUAAUUUUUUAAUACCAAGAAUAUCAAGCAAAGAGAUUCAUGAAGUCCAAAGCAGUGCCUACAUAUCUGUAUAUUUAUAAACUCCACAGAGAAGUCUGAUCUGUAAUAUCCAUUAAGAACCACUGGCCUAGAAACUGCCAGAUUUAAAUUUAAAAAAAUGUAUUUUUGGAGACAGGGUCUAACUCUGCCACCUAGGCUGAAGUGCAGUGGUGCAAUCACAGCUUACUGCAGCCUUGAUCUCUAGGCUCAAGCAAACCCCUUGCCUCAGCCUCCCGAGCAGCUAGGACUACAGGCGCUUGCCAGCACACAAGGCUAAUUUUUUAAUGUCUUGUAGAGGUGGAGCCCACUAUGCUGCCCAGGCUGGUCUUGAGCUCCUAGGCUCCAGUGAUCCUCCUGCCUCAGCCUCCUAAAGUGCUGAGAUUAUAGGCAUGAGCCACCAUGCUUGGCCUAGAUUUAAACUAAAGAAGGCAGGCUGUGGUCCACAUUUUAAAUCAUAUUAAAAUGAUGACUGAUAACACUAUAUUGUUGCCUAAGGUCAUCAAGAAAAAUACCACAUGACUCUGAUAAAUACAGGAAAACUCUAUAGAACAAUGCUCUGGAUGGAGUCAAGUUUAAAACAAAUAAUAUGUUGAGCAUAUACAAUAUACGAAUUCAGCAAAAAGAAUAUUGAGAAUGGAUUUUGUUAAAGAGUGAUGAAAAUGUUUAAGAUUGCUCACUUAUUGGGGAGAAACAGUUUCAGCUGAUGAGAGGAACAAUGCGUAGGAUAAGCCAUGAGUAUGGCUGAUGAUGCAAACAAACAAACAAAAAGGAAACAAACAAACAUGUUUCAUUUCUUAUAUCCCAGUCAAAAACUGUAUCCUAAAGAUAGGUUCAAGAACCUGUUUCCAGAAGACAGGUUUAAAUAUACAUAUUUGAAAAGACCAAUCUUUACACACACAUAACCCCAACAGACACCCAUAUUACAUAUAUUAUUUAAUAAUAUAAUAUUUAUAUUUAAUAUAGUCCUAGGACUUGCAUCUUUUCAGUGGAAAGGUGGUAAAGAUAAUGCUACUCAUUUUAUAAAUAUAUAAAAGGAGCUAACUUCCUUAAGUUCAAUUACAAGAUUUCCUCAGUGGUCUCUUUAGUAGUAACAAUAUAAAAUAUACAUAAAGGCAAAGGUCAUAUCUCUAUCAUCAUUAAAUAAAAAUCUGGUAUCCAAGUUAACAGUUUCCCCUGACCACUCCUUUUCACACAAAAUAUAAAAUGUCUUAAGAUUCAACCGUCAAAUCUGAAUUCUAAUUCUGAGAGCCCACUUAUUCUUUUCAGAAGCAUAAACUUGAUUUUCAAUACAAGUACUCUGAAGGAUAAUUUUAAUAUGCCCUAAAUAGAGAAAAAAAAGAAACCUCAUUGGUGUUCCUUGCUAAUGACAGAAUGAACACUUGGUAUUUUUUCUUCUACAAAAGGAUGCACUGCACUGUGACCUAAACAAAGUUAACAGAUUUUAAUUUUGUUAUUAACUUAAUAACAGACGUGAGCUUCACAGGCUAAAAAGAAAGACUAAACCAACUUGCCAAACUUCAUUUUUAUAUACUUUCCUGAUUUUUAUGCCCUGAUCUAUUUUUCUUUCUCUCUUACAAUUUUAUCUGAGUAAUGCCAGAAUACUGAUUGCAAACAGUUGUAAAAAAAUUUUAUAAAGGUUCUUUAUUCUCUAAGCGUGCACAGCUAUUACAUGUUUUAAUACUUGAUCUCAUUUUCCAAAAGUAAAAUAAUUAUCUUGGUAUAAAUCUCUUCCUAUCACCAGGAUGCUGAGAUUUUUAUUUUUGUCAUCACCAGUAUCAAGAAACAAAAGCAUACAAAAAGUUUUGCAAAGAUAACAGACUUUUUUUUUUUUUGAGAUGGAGUCUUGCCCUGUUGCCCAGGCUGGAGUGCAGUGGUGCGAUUUUGGCUCACUGCAACCUCUGCCUCCUGGGUUCAAGCGAUUCUCCUGCCUCAGCCUCCUGAGUAGCUGGGACUACAGGCACCUGCCACCAUGCCCAGCAAAUUUUUGUAUUUUUAGUAGAGACAGGGUUUCACCAUGUUGGCCAGGCUGGUCUUGAACUCCUGACCUUGUGAUCCGCCCACCUCGGCCUCCCAAAGAGCUGGGAUUAUAGGCGUGAGCCACCACAAUUGGCCAGGUAACAGACUUUGUAAGAGCCAACUUGAGAUACUAUAUUCACCAAUUGAAAUGUCCACCUGUUAUUUCAUUCCAAUGAUACUGUUCAUUUCUCCCAUUAUAUAAUAUAUAACUAAUUUCUAUGGGUAACAUCUAAAUAUACCAGAAUUCUCAAAAGUACUUCUUUCCAAUUAUUUUAUCUAGUGAUUUUUAAUUCAGUAGGCUAUACUCUUUAAAUGAGUAAUAUAUUAUUCACUAAUAGUUGUUUGCUUCUUUUAACAGAUAAAAUUUAAGUUCCAUUCUCUAGACUGUUGCUAGUAUUCUCAAAGAUUUUUCUCUAAAUUCCAUAUUUUUUUUCUUUUCUUUGAGACAAAGUCUCACUCUGUUGCCCAAGCUGGAGUGCAGUAGCGUGAUCUCAGGUCACUGCAACCUCCACCUCCCGGGUUU